rnacentral:lncRNA from 1 species
AAACAGGUCAGUGGAGCCCCUCCCCUGCCUCCACCCGCAUAACCACAUCCGCAAACCCUAGCUGUCGCACGUCUCCCGUUUAGACCUCCCGAUCUUGAUGGUGCACGCCGCCGCCACUUCUUCAUCUCCACCGAGCCUAGAACGCUUUCGCCGCGGCCACUGAUUCAUGCUCCAUCUGGGUCUUGUCGUUGACGCCACUACGAAAUCCAAGCACUCACGUGUGAGACAUCCACCACCAACCAUCGCAAUCCCCCAUGUCCCUCCUUGCCUCCUUGUCCGUCGAUGUAAACGGAGGUGCGUGUGGGCAUCUUGGCCUCGUCAUCUGUAGCGUCGUAUCGGCGUCCUACCGCAGGAGCAGCAGCAAGGCCACAUCGGCAUCAUCGCGCACUUCGCCGGUGGUGGCUUUGCGGCGUCGUCACCAAGACUUGUAUCUCAAUCCUCGUCCACUCGCCAUCCUCUUGUGGGUAAUAGGCUUUCUGUCCCUUUUUGUCUCUUGCGUUCUCGUGUGCACCGAUUUGGCAGUUCCGAAGGAAUUUCAUAGGACGGGCAGCAACAACAAGGACUAAUUAAGCAUUGAUUUGAUUUUCCGAGAUUCUAUGUCUAGGACAUGAUUUGAUGACAAAGGAAUCCCCUUUAAAGGUGCCUGAUCUCUAAUAAGGAACCCAAGCUAAAAAAAAGCAUGAAGCAAACCUUGGGUUGUAAUAAUUAAUGUGCUUAUGCGAGCCUGAAGGAAGAAUUUUCUUCUAUUUCAUGGUGCUGUUGUGCUCCUUCUAGCUUCACACUGCACGUAUAUAGAUUCUUCAAAGGAUUUGGAUGCUGAUAAUAUCAACUUAGUUCCCUGAAUGAUAUAUAAAUUAUCUAUGUUUGCC